rnacentral:rRNA from 1 species
GUACUUUCAGCAGUGAGGAAGGUGGAGUAUGUUAAUAGCAUAUUCAUUUGACGUUUAGCUGCAGAAGAAGACACCGGCUAACUCCGUGCCAGCAGCCGCGGUAAUACGGAGGGUGCGAGCGUUAAUCGGAAUUACUGGGCGUAAAGCGCAUGCAGGUGGUUUGUUUAAGUUCAGAUGUGAAAGACCCGGGGCGUCAACCUCCGGAAUUGCAUUUGUAAACUAGGCAAACUAAGAGUACUGUAGAGGGGGGUAGGAAGUUUCAGGUGUAGCGGUGAAAUAGCGUAGAGAUCUGAAGGAAUACCGGUGGCGAAGGCGGCCCCCUCGGACAGAUACUGACACUCAGAUGCGAAAGCGUGGGGAGCAAACAGGAUUAGAUACCCUGGUAG